UACGGAGGGUGCUAGCGUUGUUCGGAAUGACUGGGCGUAAAGGGCGCGUAGGCGGCCGCUUGCGUCGGAUGUGAAAGCCCGGGGCUCAACCCCGGAACGGCACCCGAGACGGGUUGGCUGGAGACCGGGAGAGGAGGGUGGAAUAGCCAGUGUAGAGGUGAAAUUCGUAGAUAUUGGCUGGAACACCGGUGGCGAAAGCGGCUCUCUGGCCCGGUUCUGACGCUGAGGCGCGAAAGCGUGGGGAGCAAACAGG
rnacentral:rRNA from 1 species